rnacentral:rRNA from 1 species
AGGCCUAACACAUGCAAGUCGAACGGUAACAGGAAGCAGCUUGCUGCUUCGCUGACGAGUGGCGGACGGGUGAGUAAUGUCUGGGAAGCUGCCUGAUGGAGGGGGAUAACUACUGGAAACGGUAGCUAAUACCGCAUAAUGUCGCAAGACCAAAGAGGGGGACCUUCGGGCCUCUUGCCAUCGGAUGUGCCCAGAUGGGAUUAGCUUGUUGGUGGGGUAACGGCUCACCAAGGCGACGAUCCCUAGCUGGUCUGAGAGGAUGACCAGCCACACUGGAACUGAGACACGGUCCAGACUCCUACGGGAGGCAGCAGUGGGGAAUAUUGCACAAUGGGCGCAAGCCUGAUGCAGCCAUGCCGCGUGAAUGAAGAAGGCCUUCGGGUUGUAAAGUACUUUCAGCGGGGAGGAAGGGAGUAAAGUUAAUACCUUUGCUCAUUGACGUUACCCGCAGAAGAAGCACCGGCUAACUCCGUGCCAGCAGCCGCGGUAAUACGGAGGGUGCAAGCGUUAAUCGGAAUUACUGGGCGUAAAGCGCACGCAGGCGGUUUGUUAAGUCAGAUGUGAAAUCCCCGGGCUCAACCUGGGAACUGCAUCUGAUACUGGCAAGCUUGAGUCUCGUAGAGGGGGGUAGAAUUCCAGGUGUAGCGGUGAAAUGCGUAGAGAUCUGGAGGAAUACCGGUGGCGAAGGCGGCCCCCUGGACGAAGACUGACGCUCAGGUGCGAAAGCGUGGGGAGCAAACAGGAUUAGAUACCCUGGUAGUCCACGCCGUAAACGAUGUCGACUUGGAGGUUGUGCCCUUGAGGCGUGGCUUCCGGAGCUAACGCGUUAAGUCGACCGCCUGGGGAGUACGGCCGCAAGGUUAAAACUCAAAUGAAUUGACGGGGGCCCGCACAAGCGGUGGAGCAUGUGGUUUAAUUCGAUGCAACGCGAAGAACCUUACCUGGUCUUGACAUCCACGGAAGUUUUCAGAGAUGAGAAUGUGCCUUCGGGAACCGUGAGACAGGUGCUGCAUGGCUGUCGUCAGCUCGUGUUGUGAAAUGUUGGGUUAAGUCCCGCAACGAGCGCAACCCUUAUCCUUUGUUGCCAGCGGUCCGGCCGGGAACUCAAAGGAGACUGCCAGUGAUAAACUGGAGGAAGGUGGGGAUGACGUCAAGUCAUCAUGGCCCUUACGACCAGGGCUACACACGUGCUACAAUGGCGCAUACAAAGAGAAGCGACCUCGCGAGAGCAAGCGGACCUCAUAAAGUGCGUCGUAGUCCGGAUUGGAGUCUGCAACUCGACUCCAUGAAGUCGGAAUCGCUAGCAAUCGUGGAUCAGAAUGCCACGGUGAAUACGUUCCCGGGCCUUGUACACACCGCCCGUCACACCAUGGGAGUGGGUUGCAAAAGAAGUAGGUAGCUUAACCUUCGGGAGGGCGCUUACCACUUUGUGAUUCA